rnacentral:rRNA from 1 species
AUAUUGGACAAUGGGGGCAACCCUGAUCCAGCCAUGCCGCGUGUGUGAAGAAGGUCUUCGGAUUGUAAAGCACUAUAAGUUGGGAGGAAGGGCGUUAGGUUAAUACCCUGAAGUUUGGACGUUACCAACGGAAUAAGCACCGGCUAACGCUGUUCCGGCAGCCGCGGUAAUAGGGAGGGUGCAAGCGUUAAUCGGAAUUACCGGGAGUAAAGCGCGAGUAGGUGGUUCAGUAAGAUGGGUGUGAAAUCCCCGGGCUUAACCUGGGAACUGCUUUCAUAACUGCUGAGCUAGAGUACGGUAGAGGGUAGUGGAAUUUCCUGUGUAGCGGUGAAAUGCGUAGAUAUAGGAAGGAACACCAGUGGCGAAGGCGACUACCUGGACUGAUACUGACACUGAGGUGCGAAAGCGUGGGGAGCAAA